CCUACGGGAGGCAGCAGUGGGGAAUCUUGCGCAAUGGGCGAAAGCCUGACGCAGCAACGCCGCGUGCGGGAAGAAGGCCUUCGGGUUGUAAACCGCUUUCAGAAGGAACGAAAAUGACGGUACUUUCAGAAGAAGGUGCGGCCAACUACGUGCCAGCAGCCGCGGUGACACGUAGGCACCAAGCGUUGUCCGGAUUUAUUGGGCGUAAAGAGCUCGUAGGCGGUUCGGUAAGUCGGGUGUGAAAACUUUGGGCUCAACCCAAAGCGUGCAUUCGAUACUGUCGUGACUAGAGUUCGGUAGGGGAGCGGGGAAUUCCUAGUGUAGCGGUGAAAUGCGCAGAUAUUAGGAGGAACACCGGUGGCGAAGGCGCCGCUCUGGGCCGAAACUGACGCUGAGGAGCGAAAGCGUGGGUAGCAAACAGGAUUAGAUACCCUGGUAGUCCACGCCGUAAACGUUGGGCACUAGGUGUGGGGUCUCAACCAACGAGAUCCGCGCCGUCGCAAACGCAUUAAGUGCCCCGCCUGGGGAGUACGGCCGCAAGGUUAAAACCUCAAAUGAAUUGACGG
rnacentral:rRNA from 1 species